GAUGAACGCUGGCGGCGUGCCUAAUACAUGCAAGUCGAGCGAAUGGAUUGAGAGCUUGCUCUUAUGAAGUUAGCGGCGGACGGGUGAGUAACACGUGGGUAACCUGCCCAUAAGACUGGGAUAACUCCGGGAACCGGGGCUAAUACCGGCUAACAUUUUGAACCGCAUGGUUCGAAAUUGAAAGGCGGCUUCGUCUGUCACUUAUGGAUGGAUCCGCGUCGCAUUAGCUAGGUGGUGAGGUAACGGCUCACCAAGGCAACGAUGCGUAGCCGACCUGAGAGGGUGAUCGGCCACACUGGGACUGAGACACGGCCCAGACUCCUACGGGAGGCAGCAGUAGGGAAUCUUCCGCAAUGGACGAAAGUCUGACGGAGCAACGCCGCGUGAGUGAUGAAGGCUUUCGGGUCGUAAAACUCUGUUGUUAGGGAAGAACAAGUGCUAGUUGAAUAAACUGGCACCUUGACGGUACCUAACCAGAAAGCCACGGCUAACUACGUGCCAGCCGCCGCAGUAA
rnacentral:rRNA from 1 species